UGAGCCGCACCUCUUCUCUUCGAAUUCUCUCUCCCCCUCCAUUUUUAGCUAAACUUCCACUUCUCUUUAGCCAUGGACAGAAAUUGUCCUCCCAUUUCCGUGUAAACCUGAACUACUCAGAGCCUUUUCCAUUCCUUGAUGAAUAUGGACACAUAAAAUCUUCAAAGACCAGAGAAAAUCGGUCCAUUUUGAGCAGGCAAUCACGUGAAGAAACCUAAAAAAACGUUCGGAUCUGCACGAAUUUUUUGACUCAACUUUGAUUUGUUUUUCUUUGAUUUCAAAUUCCCGCCCAAUGAAAACCCUAGCUGUUUCUACCCCAAUAAAGGCUUGCUUCGAGCUUCGUUUUAAAGGGGGUUUUUUUUUUUGGGAGAGCCAUCACCUUCAUUUAAAAUUAUUGUUGAAAUCAAGCCAAUUUUUUUUUUAAAGAAAAGGGAGUAUUCUGAAUCUGUCGAGAUUUUGGAUUCGUAAGGUUUUCCGAGUUCGGGUUCGUCGUAUUCGAGCGUAGAUCUAACAACCCUUACCUAGUUCGCUGCAUCCGAAAAAGUUCACCAAACUCGGUUGAAACAAAUUCCAGUGACAUUCGGGAUGAGAUUUCUCUAUUCGGGUCUCCCUUUCUCCCCUCGGAAAAUAACCCGGGCAGAAGCAAUAUACAGAGGGGAGAAGACGAGAAAGACUGCUACGUUUUAAAGCAUACCUUACAUUUAUUUGAUUUAUUUAUGUUUGUAUCUGAUUAUUUAACUACUUUAGAAUACUUAAUUUAGUAGGGGCUAAUUGGGACGUUAUUUUGAUAUAACAAUGGGAAUGUUUUUUUUUUAA